rnacentral:rRNA from 1 species
CCUACGGGUGGCAGCAGUGAGGAAUAUUGGUCAAUGGGAGAGAUCCUGAACCAGCCAAGCCGCGUGAGGGAAGACGGCCCUAUGGGUUGUAAACCUCUUUUGUCGGAGAACAAACCCCGGGACGUGUCCCGGACUGCGUGUAUCCUACGAACAAGCAUCGGCUAACUCCGUGCCAGCAGCCGCGGUAAUACGGAGGAUGCGAGCGUUAUCCGGAUUUAUUGGGUUUAAAGGGUGCGUAGGCGGCCUGCUAAGUCUGGAGUGAAAGGUACCGGCUCAACCGGUACAGGCUCGGGAAACUGGCGGGCUAGAGAGCAGGAGAGGGCGGUGGAACUCCAUGUGUAGCGGUAAAAUGCGUAGAUAUAUGGAAGAACACCAGUGGCGAAGGCGGCCGCCUGGCCUGUGACUGACGCUGAGGCACGAAAGCGUGGGGAGCAAAUAGGAUUAGAUACCCGAGUAGUC